AUUGAACGCUGGCGGCAGGCCUAACACAUGCAAGUCGAGCGAGCGGCGGACGGUUGAGUAAUGUAUGGGGACUGCCCGAUAGCGGGGGAUAACUACUGGAAACGGUAGCUAAUCCCGCAUACUAUCGGCUACCCCAUAUGGGAUUAGCUAGUGGGUGAGGUAAUGGCUCACCUAGGCGACGAUCCCUAGCUGGUCUGAGAGGUUGAUCAGCCACACUGGGACUGAGACACGGCCCAGACUCCUACGGAGGCAGCAGUGGGGAAUAUUGCACAAUGGGCGCAAGCCUGAUGCAGCCAUGCCGCGUGUAUGAAGAAGGCCCUAGGGUUGUAAAGUACUUUUGGCAGAGAAGCGGUAUCUGCAGAAUAAGCACCGGCUAACUACGUGCCAGCAGCCGCGGUAAUAC
rnacentral:rRNA from 1 species